GAUGAAGAACGUAGCGAAAUGCGAUAAGUAAUGUGAAUUGCAGAAUUCAGCGAAUCAUCGAAUCUUUGAACGCACAUUGCGCCCGCCAGUAUUCUGGCGGGCAUGCCUGUUCGAGCGUCAUUACAACCCUCAAGCCCCCCGGCUUGGUGUUGGGGACCGGCCACCGGUGCCCUGCUGCUUCCGCGGCAGGCGCGCCCGGCCGCCCCCGAAAUGAAUUGGCGGCCCCGUCGCGGCCUCCCUCUGCGUAGUAGCACACAUCUCGCAGCUGGAGCGCGGCGCGGCCACUGCCGUAAAACGCACCAACUUUUUUUUACAGUUGACCUCGAAUCAGGUAGGAAUACCCGCUGAACUUAAGCAUAUCAAUAAGCGGAGGA
rnacentral:misc_RNA from 1 species